rnacentral:rRNA from 1 species
GUGGGGAAUUUUGGACAAUGGGCGCAAGCCUGAUCCAGCAAUGCCGCGUGUGUGAAGAAGGCCUUCGGGUUGUAAACUGCUUUUGUACGGAACGAAACGGUCCGGGUUAAUACCCUGGGCUAAUGACGGUACCGUAAGAAUAAGCACCGGCUAACUACGUGCCAGCAGCCGCGGUAAUACGUAGGGUGCAAGCGUUAAUCGGAAUUACUGGGCGUAAAGCGUGCGCAGGCGGUUUUGUAAGACAGGCGUGAAAUCCCCGGGCUCAACCUGGGAAUUGCGCUUGUGACUGCAAGGCUGGAGUGCGGCAGAGGGGGAUGGAAUUCCGCGUGUAGCAGUGAAAUGCGUAGAUAUGCGGAGGAACACCGAUGGCGAAGGCAAUCCCCUGGGCCUGCACUGACGCUCAUGCACGAAAGCGUGGGGAGCAAACAGGAUUAGAUACCCGUGUAGUCC